AGGCAUCAGACAAAAAGGCAUCAGACGAACGGACUCAGACAAAAAAGCAUCAAACGAACGGACUCAGACAAAAAGGCAUCAGACAAAACGGACUCAGACAAAAAGGCAUCAGACGAACGAACUUAGACAAAAAGGCAUCACGAAACGGACUCAGGUGGAGUGUCACGUUGCCCUGCCCCAUGUGACGUCACACGCACGCAGUUCAGAGGAAGUGGUAUGGAACGGUUGAUGGAUGGCAAAAGGAGAACAGAAAUAUGGAAAAGUUGAAGGUGUACGAAACUCUCAGACAACAACUGGAUAAUGAUGAGAUUACUCAAAAGGGCUUUGAUGCCAGAGUAAAG